rnacentral:lncRNA from 1 species
UAUAAGGUAAUGUGGGAAGAGGGGAUAUUAUUAAUUCUAUUGUUUAUGUCUUAGUGAGAAGAGAGUGCCGUAGGUUAUAAAUUUUAUUAUAAGGUAAUGUGGGAAGUUUAGGACCACGAUAUAUUUGGAUGGGAAUGGCAUUUUUUGUAAAUACUCUAGUGAACCUUGGGUAGUUUAAUAUGUUGGCUGAGAGAGAAUGUGGAACUGCCACCUCAGGAUGGCAUCCUUGUAAAUAUUCUACCUUUUCAAGGUUUCUUUUUCAAAUUGUUUCUUCAUUAAUAAGUAAGGGAUAUUUUUUUUCUUGUGGGACUCAUCUAAUGCUGAGGUGGAUGCCUCAAGAAAAGAAUAAACGAUGACAUUAUAUAUAUGAUUUUAUAGAUGAUGAAAGAC